GCGGCACUGCUCCGAGUGCUCUGGCUGCUUGGGUUCCUGGCAUGCUGAUUUGUGACUUAAGAUUAAAAUCACAUUGCCAGGGAUUACCACGCAUCCAUGACCUGGGCUGCUCCUCCAGAA
rnacentral:pre_miRNA from 12 species